GGGCAGGGCGCAGCUACACAUGCAGUCGAACGGUAACAGUUCUUGCUUGCUAGAAGAUGACGAGUGGCGGACGGGUGAGUAAUGCUUGGGAACUUGCCUUUGCGAGGGGGAUAACAGUUGGAAACGACUGCUAAUACCGCAUAAUGUCUUCGGACCAAACGGGGCUUCGGCUCCGGCGCAAAGAGAGGCCCAAGUGAGAUUAGCUAGUUGGUAAGGUAACGGCUUACCAAGGCGACGAUCUCUAGCUGUUCUGAGAGGAAGAUCAGCCACACUGGGACUGAGACACGGCCCAGACUCCUACGGGAGGCAGCAGUGGGGAAUAUUGCACAAUGGGGGGAACCCUGAUGCAGCCAUGCCGCGUGUGUGAAGAAGGCCUUCGGGUUGUAAAGCACUUUCAGUUGUGAGGAAAAGUUAGUAGUUAAUACCUGCUAGCCGUGACGUUAACAACAGAAGAAGCACCGGCUAACUCCGUGCCAGCAGCCGCGGUAAUACGGAGGGUGCGAGCGUUAAUCGGAAUUACUGGGCGUAAAGCGCACGCAGGCGGUUUGUUAAGCUAGAUGUGAAAGCCCCGGGCUCAACCUGGGAUGGUCAUUUAGAACUGGCAGACUAGAGUCUUGGAGAGGGGAGUGGAAUUCCAGGUGUAGCGGUGAAAUGCGUAGAUAUCUGGAGGAACAUCAGUGGCGAAGGCGACUCCCUGGCCAAAGACUGACGCUCAUGUGCGAAAGUGUGGGUAGCGAACAGGAUUAGAUACCCCGGUAGUCCAAAA
rnacentral:rRNA from 1 species